AACGAACGCUGGCGGCAUGCCUAACACAUGCAAGUCGAACGAGAUCUUCGGGUCUAGUGGCGCACGGGUGCGUAACGCGUGGGAAUCUGCCCUUUGGUUCGGAAUAACAGUUGGAAACGACUGCUAAUACCGGAUGAUGACGAAAGUCCAAAGAUUUAUCGCCAGGGGAUGAGCCCGCGUAGGAUUAGCUAGUUGGUGUGGUAAAGGCGCACCAAGGCGACGAUCCUUAGCUGGUCUGAGAGGAUGAUCAGCCACACUGGGACUGAGACACGGCCCAGACUCCUACGGGAGGCAGCAGUGGGGAAUAUUGGACAAUGGGCGAAAGCCUGAUCCAGCAAUGCCGCGUGAGUGAUGAGGGCCUUAGGGUUGUAAAGCUCUUUUACCCGGGAUGAUAAUGACAGUACCGGGAGAAUAAGCUCCGGCUAACUCCGUGCCAGCCGCCGCAGUAA
rnacentral:rRNA from 1 species